rnacentral:rRNA from 1 species
UGGGGAAUAUUGGACAAUGGGGGCAACCCUGAUCCAGCCAUGCCGCGUGUGUGAAGAAGGCCUUUUGGUUGUAAAGCACUUUAAGCAGUGAAGAAGACUCCAUGGUUAAUACCCAUGGACGAUGACAUUAGCUGCAGAAUAAGCACCGGCUAACUCUGUGCCAGCAGCCGCGGUAAUACAGAGGGUGCAAGCGUUAAUCGGAAUUACUGGGCGUAAAGCGAGCGUAGGUGGCUUGAUAAGUCAGAUGUGAAAGCCCCGGGCUUAACCUGGGAACGGCAUCUGAUACUGUUAGGCUAGAGUAGGUGAGAGGAAGGUAGAAGUCCAGGUGUAGCGGUGAAAUGCGUAGAGAUCUGGAGGAAUACCGAUGGCGAAGGCAGCCUUCUGGCAUCAUACUGACACUGAGGUUCGAAAGCGUGGGUAGCAAACA